rnacentral:rRNA from 1 species
AGCAGCCGCCGCGGUAAUACGUAGGGUGCGAGCGUUAAUCGGAAUUACUGGGCGUAAAGCGUGCGCAGGCGGUUUUGUAAGACAGGCGUGAAAUCCCCGGGCUCAACCUGGGAACUGCGCUUGUGACUGCACAGCUAGAGUAUGGCAGAGGGGGGUGGAAUUCCACGUGUAGCAGUGAAAUGCGUAGAGAUGUGGAGGAACACCGAUGGCGAAGGCAGCCCCCUGGGCCAAUACUGACGCUCAUGCACGAAAGCGUGGGGAGCAAAUGGGAUUAGAUACCCCUGUAGUCCCUGUCUCUUAUAC